UUUUUAUUUCUCGAGUGGGUUUUCAUUUCUUAAUUAAAUUACCUCACUUUUUGAUCAAAGUUAAUUUUGGAUAAAACUGAUUUCUGUCAUGCUUCACUUAUUAUUUUCUGUAGAUUGAUUAGAUUAAAUAAAUAUUCAUUGAUUUAGUCAGUUUAGCCUUUUUUUAAUCUACUCAACUUUAAAUAAUUCAUCUGUCUCUUUCUUUAUCUGUGUGUCUUUCGCUCUCCUUUAAGAUGUUGGCAAAAAAAAGUUUGACUCAGUUUCUUGCCAACCUUGCCACUUACCAUUAUUAUUACCAUUGGAUUUAACCUGGUUUAACCUUUAACCUGGCGAAAGUAUAUCUAAACUCUCUUGAGAGAUCAAUGGUACAAAACGUUUCGACAUGACGCUAAUCCUUAUCAGUUGAGAAAACGUUAAACGAAAAGAUUUGCUCAACAAACCAACAAAAAUCCUGACUUUGUCAAAUCCACUGAUUAUCAUUAUCAUCAUCCACAUCAUCAAAAUGAUCAUUAUCAGCAUUAUUCACAUCAUAAUCAUCACGGCCAGGUUAACGUUUCAAAUGCGUAAGUCCAUCUUCACGAAAGGCAAAAAUGAAAAGUCUUUUCUCUUCUUUUUAUAUUCAUACGUUUUUAUAAUGAAAUGAUUUUUGAUUAACUUGAUUCGCAUUAUUACUACCAGCUCUAAUAACUUUUCCCAUUCUAAUACACAUUUUUAUUAACAUUUAUUAUUGUCAAGUUAGUCUCGGACACUUGAUAUUUCAUCUUAACCAUAAAAAAAUAAUGCUUGGAUUAGUCUCGCUGUUUUAACAUUAUUUAACAUCAGUUUGUCUUGCCUUUUUUACUACUAACUGUACAUUCGAUCUGCUUCAUCAACUUUCAAUAACCUUUUUUUACAGCUUUGUGUUUCUUGCUGUUGUUGUUUCUUACUUGGAUUGCUGUGUGCAAAGAAAAAGAAUAACAAUUUAACUUAUUCAUUCAUGCAGAAAAGUAAUCAAUUGGAGCAAUUUGUUUCCCUUUAAUUUGCAAACUGGAAGCUGCAUAACCAUUGCAAGUUGCUAUUAGACGGUGAUAAAGAUGAAUUAACAAUCAAAGGAUUUGGCUGUUUCAAUUAAAUGUUGUACCUGUUCCAAUAUGCUGUUUGAAUCAACAUGAGUUGAAACAAUCAUUUAUGCAAAGCCAAAAAAUUGAACUGUUUAUAUUCAACUAUCUUUAUUAUGAGAUGCAGAAUCAUGUGUUAAUGAUGCAUUUGACAAGAUUGAAAUAACAUUCUGAUCUCAUCAUCAUCGUCAUCAACAUAAUCAUUAUUCAGGUAAAAAGAAAAGUAUUGAGAUAAAAAUGAAAACGAUAAUUCAUUUUCUCAUCAACUGCAAGUUUAAUGGCAUUUGAAGAUCACUGGAAAAAUGGUUUAUUCAAAAGUGGACGAAAAUUUUUGCAUAAUAAUAAUUGAAUCAUCUUGUAACCAUAAGCAGCUUAUUCUACCUCAGUGAUGAACAGAAUCUGGUGAAUGGUGGUAAUCAGAGGCGGAAAAAUGUCCAAAAAUCUCAAUACCGACUAAUAACUACCUUGAACCAUCAAUGGAAUCGAUGAAUUUGUGACUGACUAACAAGCUUCAAAGAUUGUCCUUCCUCUUUCAAUAUGCUGUUGGACUUGUAUUCUUGGUCGUAAAAAUGAAACGCAUUCACUUACUAUUCUGAAUAUACUACUUUUUAAUACAUACCUUUGUGCCGUCCUCUCUGAUGAUGACAGUUAAAUAAUAAUUGUAUACCAUAUUGUACUUUGCGAUUGUUGUUGUUACUGUUAUUGUAACAAUGAUUGAAGCUUAAAAGAAAUACGGUUUGACACUAUUAAAGUAAAAAGGUCUUUUAUUAACACAAA